CCUACGGGCGGCAGCAGUGAGGAAUAUUGGUCAAUGGACGAGAGUCUGAACUAGCCAAGUAGCGUGAAGGAUGACUGCCCUAUGGGUUGUAAACUUCUUUUAUAUGGGAAUAAAACGUUCCACGUGUGGGAUUUUGUAUGUACCAUAUGAAUAAGGAUCGGCUAACUCCGUGCCAGCAGCCGCGGUAAUACGGAGGAUCCGAGCGUUAUCCGGAUUUAUUGGGUUUAAAGGGAGCGUAGGUGGAUUGUUAAGUCAGUUGUGAAAGUUUGCGGCUCAACCGUAAAAUUGCAGUUGAAACUGGCAGUCUUGAGUACAGUAGAGGUGGGCGGAAUUCGUGGUGUAGCGGUGAAAUGCUUAGAUAUCACGAAGAACUCCGAUUGCGAAGGCAGUUCACUGGACUGCAACUGACACUGAGGCUCGAAAGUGUGGGUAUCAAACAGGAUUAGAUACCCUUGUAGUC
rnacentral:rRNA from 1 species